rnacentral:lncRNA from 1 species
GCGUGAGAGGUACUGGUUCAAAAAUGCUUUCUUCAAGUCCGGCUAACUUCUGAUGCUUAGGGGAGGAAGCCUGCUGUACCACACCUCGGCGGCUCCGCCUAGUGUUAAAUGGAAGGCUCUGCACUUUAGGGCAGGUGAGGCUCCCCUAAGACUCAUUUGUGUCAUAUACUUUGUGAGGUGCUUCUCCGGAUCCCCUUUUCCCUCAUACUUGGGGAUCUUAGGGGGCAUGAAAUUAGUUGGCAUUGGGAAGCUUCGGAUUUCCCUUGAGAAAGGGAGGUUAUCGUCAUCGUCGUCAAUCUCAUAAGAUCGAUAGGGCCCCUCUGAUCCUUGAUCAUCUUGGAUGUUUUGGGGUGGAGGAGGUGCUUUCCCCCGGCUUCCCCAAUCGACUAAGUUUCUCCUCUCCCUCCUAUUUCUAGGAGGAGGAGCAUACUCUUCUUCGUGGUCUGACCGGACCGGCCCUCUUGAAGGGCGGACCCUAUUGCUAGGAUCGUUCCCUAUCCGGUCGAAGACGCUUACUGACCUCCGGUCAUCGUGUUCUUGAGGAAAGUUGUCCCCCAAGAGUGGUUCUAAUGGGUGACUCUCCUGCACAUAAGAUGUCGCUUCGGUGUUCCCCUUUCUUUCGAAAGAACGUUCUGUGUGCCGGCUCAUGUGGCCUCGAGAAUGAGACAAAGGGAUUUCCUGUACCGGAUAAGAUCCUUGGGGCAUCUGGUGUCCCUGGGCUUGCAUGAGAAGUUCCCGCAUCGCCAUAUUCUGAGCUGCUAUGUCUCUCAUGCCCGCAGCUAUCUGGG